AGAGUUUGAUCAUGGCUCAGGACGAACGCUGGCGGCGUGCUUAACACAUGCAAGUCGAACGGUGAAGCGGGUGCUUGCACUCGUGGAUCAGUGGCGAACGGGUGAGUAACACGUGAGUAACCUGCCCUCCACUCUGGGAUAAGCGCUGGAAACGGCGUCUAAUACUGGAUAUGACCGACCCUCGCAUGGGGUGUUGGUGGAAAGAUUUAUCGGUGGUGGAUGGACUCGCGGCCUAUCAGCUUGUUGGUGGGGUAAUGGCCUACCAAGGCGACGACGGGUAGCCGGCCUGAGAGGGCGACCGGCCACACUGGGACUGAGACACGGCCCAGACUCCUACGGGAGGCAGCAGUGGGGAAUAUUGCACAAUGGGCGAAAGCCUGAUGCAGCGACGCCGCGUGAGGGAUGACGGCCUUCGGGUUGUAAACCUCUUUCAGCAGGGAAGAAGCUUUUGUGACGGUACCUGCAGAAGAAGCACCGGCUAACUACGUGCCAGCAGCCGCGGUAAUACGUAGGGUGCGAGCGUUGUCCGGAAUUAUUGGGCGUAAAGAGCUUGUAGGCGGUUUGUCGCGUCUGCUGUGAAAAUUCAGGGCUUAACCCUGGACGUGCAGUGGGUACGGGCAGACUAGAGUGUGGUAGGGGAGACUGGAAUUCCUGGUGUAGCGGUGGAAUGCGCAGAUAUCAGGAGGAACACCGAUGGCGAAGGCAGGUCUCUGGGCCAUUACUGACGCUGAGAAGCGAAAGCAUGGGGAGCGAACAGGAUUAGAUACCCUGGUAGU
rnacentral:rRNA from 1 species